GUUCUAUCCGUUUGUCUUCUCCUUGUUCAUCAGUGGGCGGUGCCUUUGUCCUGAGCCCAACCGCGCUAGAGUCGCCUGCCACUAUCUUCUGUGACGGCAAGAGGGCGGGCCGGGUAGAUUUAUAAGAAACCAGCCGGGUGUCUGGAAACCUAGGUCGCAGCCCAAGAGGGCUGAGGACAUGUACGGGAAGAAAGCUGGCACCCAGGAGACUUAUCCUCCGAAAUGUUGAAGCCGCACGGGUGCUUUCCGCCGCUGCGGCAGGGGGCGCGGCGGAACACACAGCGCCGGUCGCGGGGAGACAUUGUGUUGCAGAUGCUGAAGCAGCCCCUGUCCAGGGACGCCGUGGUGAUACUGCACGUGGUGAAGCGGGAUCUUUUCAACCAGAUGGCGCGCGAGGUGACCCGACUAAGUCAGGAGGGUGCGGACCUACGAGGCGAGCGCCGGGCAACCGGAACUGCUGAGAUCGGCUCCACCCUCUGGUCGCUCCUGUCCUGGAGAGUUGCGCUUCGUGCCCUCACCACCUCCUUCCUGACGCGUGGCGGGCAGGUGGCCCGCGCGCUGCCCGCGCUAGUCCGAAGGAGUGGGCUCCUCUUGGGGUCCCCCUAGGACAGGCCCCGUUGCCAAGUGCUUGCGAAAAAUCGUGGAUUUACAGACAUAGCUAGCUUGUCAUCCAGGCUGUAGCAGAGAUACGUGCUCCUAGAUCUUUGGUGUGUUGCUGAAGAAAUGAAGGUGUUUCCAGAGUAAAUACCAGGAAAGGAAGGAACACUGGAAAAUCAGGCAAAAAUGUCAUGGACUCGGGAAAAGUUCCAAGCAAACGUGAGGUUAGAACCCAGGCACCUGGACCAACCUUAUACCUCACCACGCAAUGAAGAUGGAAAUAAAGAGAAAAUCUGAACUUGUCGUUUUAUAAGCUGCUUUGUGGGGUGGAUGUGAUGGGUGAGGAAAGCUCAGAUAAAGACAGGGUUCCUGUAAGUAGAAGAAAUGUCCUGUCUCCUCCUCUCCAUCCCUAGAGGGGCUCCCUCUAGUUAUCUUCAUCUCUCUUAGUUAUCUUCAUCCACUGUACCAGGAUGAGCUGUUGCACUUGUGUAUUCAAACGUAGAUGAGGGAUGAAGAAGCCAGAAUGGCAAGUAGAGGGUGCUGAUAAAACACUAGCCAUCCAAGUCAAGCUUACUAGCAGAAGAGGAGCCUAAAAUUAGGACGGAAGGUUUUUUUUUUAAAAAACAAACCCACGGGAAGUAGACCUCACCACAUGGCCAGAGAGGUCCAAAGAAAUGCUGAGGAGAGAAACAACACUGGAUCGUUGCCAUCAACACAACACACCAUGUGAUGUCUGUUUUCAAAUAAAU
ensembl:lncRNA